rnacentral:rRNA from 1 species
UACAGAGGGUGCAAGCGUUAAUCGGAAUUACUGGGCGUAAAGCGUGCGUAGACGGUUAUGUAAGUCAGAUGUGAAAGCCCCGGGCUUAACCUGGGAAUGGCAUUUGAGACUGCAUAGCUAGGGUGCGGAAGAGGGAAGCGGAAUUUCCGGUGUAGCGGUGAAAUGCGUAGAUAUCGGAAGGAACACCAGUGGCGAAAGCGGCUCUCUGGGCCAGCACCGACGUUCAGGCACGAAAGCGUGGGGAGCAAACAGG